UACGUGUCAGUUGGUAGAGCAAGAGACUCUUAAUCUCAAGGUCCUGGGUUCGAGCCCCAUGUUGGGCAAAA